GUUUUUAUCUGACUUACAUAAAACCUAUUUUUCUUUCUUCGAUCCUUCUCUCCCUCCUCUCGAAACUCAAGCUCAAACUCUCAUUGCGACUCAUUCAAUCGACGAAGAAACACAGAAGAAAAUCACCUGUCAGGAAUUGCUAAAGGAAUUGAUUUUCACGAUUUUAUUGAUCAAUUUAGAGAAGUUACCAUCUAGGUAUUAACAUUGGAGCUACCAAAACAUGGGGGUUAAAGAUCCGCUGUCAUGUAUCCGGCUUCAAUGAAACCUGAAAAAGAGAUUGACUUCCUUUGUGUUUGAUGUACAAUUCCCAGGAUGUGGGCACAAAACAACAGCAUCAACAGCAAAGGGAGAACAUUGAAACUUCGAGCAGUAAAUUCAAAUGCUGAGAGAUUGAAACCCACAAAUCCUGAUCAGUAAACUUAAAAGUGUCCGGAGGCAAUUGAGAUAUGGGCAUAAAGAAGGAAAACACCAUUUACAGGCGUACAACUUUUAUUUUUUGUUCUGAAUUUUUGGAGCAAAAAGAUGCAGGCUUAUGCAAAACUUCUCGAGGAAGGCGAUCCAAAAAUUCCAGCAUGGUUCUUCAGUCCCAAGGAUGGUUUGAAUGUGGGAUUAAAUUCAUCACUCCUCUGUUUAUUUAAGGACUGCUUAUGUUCAUUCAGAAGGUAUCACCACCCUUAAAGGUUUCUCACUGAAGUUAGCGUUGGAAGUGGUUCACUUGAUGCUGCAUUCUGUGACAAUCUGCGAGAUCAGUCUUCACUAUUAGAAGGGUUACAUGUGUAAAAGCUUAAUCAUUUGAGUGUUGGUCAAUAACACAAAAUGAGCAGUUGCUUGCUACUGGAAGCUCAGAGGGAACCUUGGUUAGAAGUUUUAAAAUUUGUUGCAAGAGGUUCACGCGCACGAUUUGAAAGAAGAACUAAAGUGUUGCUAUCAACAAGUUCAGGUUCAAAAACUCUUUCACUAGGAUAGUCCUCUCAGCGUCAAGAUCACAGCCGUUGUUGCUGUAGGAGAAACCUGACAUCUAAGCUUUUUGGCAAAGUUCUUAGUUUCAGACCUUAUCCAGGUGCAGGUGCCGCUAUUUGUCUUGGUGAAUCAUUCUUUAGUCAUAACUCUAUAACUCCAGCCUCAUAUGUUUCGUUCAUUUUCCUAUCUCUGUGUAUUUUCUUGAUUGUUUCCUGUCCCAAAUGCUUUUAUGCAUCCCAAUAUACUGUUAGUCAGUGAUUCAAAUUGGGCCAACUAUAAGAUUCACUAUGAGCUGAUCCAGAGUACGUAGGGAUUCCUUUAAUAGUUUCUGCCUAGAUGAGUGCCUCAGCAUGAUUCCGUUGAACCAACUAUAAGAUCCUAGCAUGUAAGUUAUCUUUCUGAUUUAUUUUACUCAAAUAUCAGUAAUGUAAGAGUGACUUGAACAUGAAGAGAAAGUACUCGCUGAGUUUCUCUAACGUAUGUCUACGCGAAACUACGUUGUUGGAUAUUCAUAAACUAGAUAACUUUGAUGGUGGGGAUUACAGGCAGUUUGAACCCUCAUUUUAAACCAUCACUAUCACUUUUAAUACCAUAGAAACAAUGUCUCAGUAGAUGACUAAUUUUGGUGUCUUGGACUUGACUCAACUAAUCCACAUAGGCAUGCGUAAGUAGCAGCCACUUAAGUAACUAAGUGAUGUCAUUGUGGUACCCUAUCAAUUUGGUAUGCGAUUUUCUUCUUGAUUUGGUUAUCUAAUGGAUGAUUAAUGCAAGGAAAAUCGUGUAUAAAUAACUGAAAUUAGGGGACUUCUUAGUUGGUAGGAAGGGGUUAUUUAAUGAGAAUAGAAGACAGAAAAUAGAAAAUUGGAGAAGUUGAUGAUGUUUUUGUUGCGGGUAUUACGGAUGUUGAGACUAUUGUACAUGGAAUUCAGGUAGGGGAGGGGUUAUUAUUUUAUGUGUUUAACUUAUGAACUGUUUUGGUACAGAUAUAUCUAAGAUUAACUUGCUUAUCAUAGAAUCCGAGAAUCUCGAAGUCCACUGUUUCGUCUUUUCUUUCAUUUGAAACCUGCAAAAGCAAUUGUAGACGCGAUUCAGUUGGAACCUGCAAAAGCAAUUGAGAAUGAGAACUAUGCUUUAGCAGCUGCAAUUCAAGAUCAAAAUUCGGAGUUAGAGAGUGGUGGAGCGAGAUGACGUUACUAGGUUACCGGAGAGAGCUUGCAGCGCUCUUCGUAGAUAGUCCAUAUCUGGUGAAUGAUCUUUGUAGGAACCUCUUUGAUGUCAUAUGAAGCUUUUUCUACAAGUUUUGUCAUAGUUUCGAGGGCUUGGGACCAACAAUAUACAAUAAUAAAACAGUUCGAUAAUCUAAUUACUUAGUUCACUUUGGAGCCACCGGGUAGAACAUCUUUAAGGAUGCAGACAAGUUCCUUUGGAAAUGCAAAGGACUCUGGGAAACCCUAUCAGAGGCACAUGGAAUAGGCCUUUGAGGGGCUUGGAAUUUUACUUCUUUUGACCUCCAAUCAGCAGCUAUUCAGGUAUCCUUCUAUACAUCAUAUAAGAAACUUUUACCUGUAAAGAUCAUGUGCAAAGGGGAAUCAUAUGUACCCUAUGCCAGGUGGAUGUUCAUGUCUCUAGAAGUGUGGUUGAUGAGAACGAUAAAUUCAUGACUUUUAGGCAGUGGCUUGAUUUCUGCAGGUAUUUGUUUCCCAAAUCUAUUUUCUUCAAUUCAUGUCUUCUAAAUAUUUUCUUUCAAUUCUCUUUGGUUGUUGCUGUUUUUUUUAAAUAUCCCCUGUUUAGAUCUCAAUUUUCUUAAUUUGGAUUUUGGUAAUGCCCAUGGUUGAAUAAUAUGGUAUCUACAAAUAUAUAAGUAUUGUUACUAGAGAAAAAAUACUAAAAGAAAAAAUCAAUUUCGAUUGUUAAUAAAGUCUGUUUGUAUGAUUAUUCUCUUUGAAUCAUCAAUUACGUAAUCACUGUGAUC